AAUUUUGGACAAUGGGGGAAACCCUGAUCCAGCAAUCCCGCGUGUAUGAUGAAGGCCUUCGGGUUGUAAAGUACUUUUGGCAGAGAAGAAAAGGUACCUCCUAAUACGAGGUACUGCUGACGGUAUCUGCAGAAUAAGCACCGGCUCACUACGUGCUAGCAGCCGCGGUAAUACGUAGGGUGCAAGCGUUAAUCAGAAUUACUGGUCGUAAAGAGUGUUUAGGCGGUUCGGAAAUAAAGAUGUGAAAUCCCAGGGCUCAACCUUGGAACUGCAUUUUUAACUGCCGAGCUAGAGUAUGUCAGAGGGGGGUAGAAUUCCACGUGUAGCAGUGAAAUGCGUAGAUAUGUGGAGGAAUACCGAUGGCGAAGGCAGCCCCCUGGGAUAAUACUGACGCUCAGACACGAAAGCGUGGGGAGCAAACA
rnacentral:rRNA from 1 species